AACUCUGUCGAUUUAAACCAGGAGAAAAGUGUUGUAGAAUAUUUGGAAGUGUUGCUUAGCAGACAACUCAACCAACUGUGGAAACUAUCACCUGUCCUUGCAGCAGUUGCAAUUCCUUCAUGGUCACAGUUGUUCAGAUCCUAUCUUCAUGAGCUUGAGGGUCAAAUUAGAGGAACUUGUACUGCGACGAGAUAUUGCAGUUGUAGAGUUGAUGCAGCCGAGCAUAUAGUAGAGCACAGGGAAUGUGAGUCUCUUUGUUUUCUCUUCAUAUUUCUCUAUGUUUGUUUUCUUACUUUCAAACUCUGAAUGAAUUGAGCGUCGAACUUGUAAACCGUGACCGGCUUUUCUUGCUCGUACUUGCAGGUGAGGUGGCAGAGAGAAUUUGGUGUCUUUAUAUCUUCCAUGUCAGUAGAUCCCAUGCCACAUCAAGAACAACCACUUUUACUUAGUUUGUUUUGGCCGUUUUUGCUGUAAUUGGUUAGCUUUCGAUUUGUAUAAUC